AUAUUCAGCAAUGUUGGAGACUUCUGUCUCUCUCUUUCCUCUGAGAAAUGUCAGCAAACUCAAAUAUCUUGUUUUGUGGUAUUCUAAGAAAAUCCUCCAUUCUUAUCCAACAAUAUAUACAUUUAAUUGAAUAUUUCUUACAGUAAUAUGACUUAGUUUAAAUGAAACAAUGCUCCUUCAUUAUCUGGGCUUCACUCCAGUCAUUGAACAAGACUAUCUAUUCAACAGGAACAUGAGUUGACUCUAUCUAAUAUUUCAACACAUCCCACCCUCUUACAUUUAAAUUUUUUACAUUUUAGUCAUUUAGCAGACGCUCUUAUCCAGAGCGACUUACAGUAGUGAAUGCAUACAUUUCAUACAUUUUUUUUCCCAUUUUCUUUUCAUAUAUAUAUAUUUUUUUACAUAAACUCCCCAGACGGAUGUAUACGUUAGGAAAAGAUUCAAUGAGAAUAACUGAGUUGAAUUUGAAUUUAAGUUUCAAGUUUUUUAUUGCCACGUGCACUAGUACAGUGAAAUGCCUUACUUGCUUGCUCCUUCCCGACAAUGCGGUAGUACUAUAAAAAAUAAAUACAAAAAGUCAAGUAGAACAAAAAAACACAUGAGAAAUAGAAAUAACAACACAAGAAAGUGGGUAAGCUAUAUACAGGGUCAGUUCCUGGGUCAGUGCGAAUACCAUUUUUACAAUGUGCAGGGAUACUGGAGUAGUACGGUUAAAUGUGUAUAGGGGUAAGGUGACUACGCAUCAGGAUUUAUGCUAAACAGUGUAGCAACAGCGCAUAUGAUGAUUGCAUGAGAGUGUGUGUGUGUGUAGUCAGUGCUUGUUGUGUGUGUGUGUGUGUGUGUGUGUGUGUGUGUGUGUGUGUGUGUGUGUGUGUGUUGGCGUGUCAGUGUGAGUGUGUGUAGAGUUUGCAUAGAGACUAGAGAAUCGAGAAAUUCAAUAAAAUAGAAGGGUCAAUGCAGAUUGAUAAAUAGCAACCAAAAAAAUGGCUACAUUGACUGUCUUAUGGCUUGGGGAUAGAAGCUGUUCAGGAGACUUUUGGUGUCGGACUUGAUUCUCCAGUACCGCUGCCGUGCGGAAGCAGAGAGAAUGUUUAUGUACAUGGGGCAGAUACACAGCAAAUUCUGCAGUGUUAAAUGUAACACUGGUCCAGUUUAUAUAUGGGUCUACACUUGUCAGUGUUUAAUUAACACACAGCUUAGUGUAAAGCCUGACUUGCAUAUUUCCCAGAGUGCAUUGCUUUUCAAGUGAAUUAUAGAGCUACCACACAUGACUGUAUUUUUUAGUGACAGGCAUGGUUGUUGUAAUAAUCCAUUUUCAGUCCUGUGGCCUUCACCAAGUGAGAUCCUGAUUGAAUAUGUUAGCAUUAAAAUGUAAUUAUUUAACACGAUACAACAAGUAUUUAAUAAGGCCUUAUUUUGAGGUCCUAGUUUGACCCUAGUACAGUGGCCUUGAACUCAAGGUUUUCAGGCCUGCAAUUCACAUUAUGAUGGCUUGCAAAGUGAUUUGUAAUUCCUAUUGCACUCCAGCAAGAGUGGAGAUAUAUUUUUUAUUUUACAUGUAUGUUUUUGUCAUUUAGCAGAUGCUCUUAUCCAGAGCGAUUUACAGGUGCAAUUAGGAUUAAGUGCCUUGCUCAAGGACACAUCGACUGAUUUUUCACCUUGUCUGCUCGGGAUUCAUGUAUGGGAUUCAUGUACAGGGAAAAAUGUAUGUUAUUUAUAUUUGAGUAGAAUAAGAUUAAUGAAUCAAUCAAUGUACAUAGAUAUGGAAACAAACAAUUUAAUGAAUCAACAUGCAAUAGAGCAUGCUGGGAAAUAUGAUAAUGAUGGGCAUGGUUUUUGCUGAACACUGGCUUUAAACACCAACACUGGGGUUAAUUUACACCAAUGAGUGUUAAUUUAACACUUACAGAGUUCAUUUAAUAACACCUGAAUGAACACUAGAAAUGUUACACUGAAAAAUCAACACCAGGUAACACUGAACAAUUUGCUGUGUACAAGUAAAACAUUAACACGAUUCAUUGAAAAAUAAACCAGACUUUGAACGAAAGUUUAAAAUAAUUUAAUUGCAAAGAUCACAGCUAAGAUAAAAUAUACUGAACACAACAUAAAUAUAAAGCCCAACAUGCAACAUUUUCAAAGAUUUUACUGAGUUACAGUUCAUAUAAGGAAAUCAGUCAAUUGAAAUAGAUUAAUUAGGCCCUAAUCUAUGGAUUCCAUGACUAGGAAUACAGAUAUGCAUCUGUUGGUCACAGAUACCUUUUAAAAAAGGUAUGCGUAUGGAUUGGAAACCAGUCAGUAUCUGGUGUGGGCAUCAUUUGCCUCACACAUCUCCUUCGCAUAGAGUUUAUCUGGCUAUUGAUUGUGGUCUGUGGAAUGUUGUUGAUCCUGAGCAUCCCAAACUUGCUCAAUGGGUUACAUGUCUGGUGAGUAUGCAGGCCAUAGAGAUUUGCAGAUUUCAGGAAUUGUGUACAGCUCCGUGCGCAUUAUCAUGCUGAAACAUGAGGUGAUGGUGGCAGAUGAAUGGCACGACAAUGGGCCUCAGGAUCUCAUCACGGUAUCUCUGUGCAUACAAAUUUCCAUCAAUGAAAUACAAUUGUGUUCGUUGUCCGUAGCUUAUGCCUGCCCAUACCAUAACCCCACCGCCACCAUGGGACAUUCUGUUCAAAACGUUGACAUGAGCAAACCACUCACCCACAUGAUGCCAUACACGCUGUCUGUCAUUUGCCCUGUACAGUUGAAACCAGGAUCCAUCCGGGAAGAGCACACUUCUCCAGCGUGCCGGUAGCCAUCGUAGGUGAGUAUUUUCCACCUGAGGUCGGUUACAAAACCGAACUGCAGUCAGGUCAAGACCCUGAGGAGGACGACGAGACCCUGGGGAGAACGGCAAGCACGCAGAUGAGCAUCCCCGAGACGGUUUCUGUGCAGACAGUUUGUGCAGAUAUACUUUUGUUGUGCAAAUCCACAGUUUCAUUAGCUGUGGCUGAUCUCAGACGAUCCCGAAGGUGAAGAAGCCAGAUGUGGAGGUCCUGGGCUGGCGUGGUUACACGUGGCCUGCGGUUGAGAGGCCAGUUGGAUGUACUGUCAUAUUCUCAAAAACAACGUUGGAGAAUGCUUAUGGUGGAGAAACGAACAUUCAAUUCUCUGGCAACAUCUCUGGUGGACAUUCCUGCAGUCAAAAUGACAAUUGCUCGCUCCCUCAAAACACGAGACAUCUGUGGCAUUGUGUUGUGUGACAAAUCUGCACAUUUUAGAGUGGCCUUUUAUUGUCCCCAGCACAACAUGCAUCUGUGUAAUGAUCAUGCUUUCUUGAUAUGCCACACCUGUCUGGUGUAUGGAUUAUCUUGGCAAAGGAGAAAUGCUCACUUGCAGGGAUGUAAACAAAACAUACCAUAGCCCCAACGCCGCCAUGGGGCACUCUGUUCACAAUGUCGACAUCAGCAAACCGCUCGCCCACAUGUCGCCAUAGAGGUGGUCUGCGGUUGUGAGGCAGAUUUCUGGGAUCUUUUAUUUCAGCUCAUGAAACAUGGGACCAAAACUUUACAUGUUGCGUUUAUAUUUUUGUUCAGUAUAAUAAACCAUACAAUCAUAUAACCAUGUCAGAUUAGUAAAACAAUUAUAAUACUAGUACUGCAAUUAGUCUCCUUUUGUAGGUAUUCACAGUGUCAAAUAAUUUAUUCACGGAAUUUAGAUUCUUUGAGGAGGAUCCUGCUCCUCAGCUGUAAAUCACUCCAUAUCAAAUGCUGUUUCAGCGGAAGUCUCCUCCUCGCAUUUCAAAUCCCCUCUCUGCCUCAGACUGACCUUAAGUGUAAUGUUAAUAGUGCCGCAGCCCUCUGCAGACACCUCAGUACAGACACGGACAGGGCUAUAUACCGAUUCUUUAAUGAUUUUCAUACAUGCGGAUUGCAGCUGAACGAGCAACCUCGAUGAUAAGUCGCUUGUUUCUUUCCCUUCAUCGUUCUUCUUGUUUUUCUCAGUCGUCUCUUUAGCACUGGGGCUAGAUUCAAGUUCUUCUGACUCUAUAGCAGCUACAUCUUCAAGAACAUCUGCAAUUUCUUCCAGCUCUUCUAGUUCUGCAGCGAUUGCUGAGUAUAUAGCAGCUUCAUUUUCAAGAACAUCUGCAAUUUCUUCCAGCUCUUCAGCGAUUGCUGAGUCUACAGCAGCUUCAUUUUCAAGAACAUCUGCAAUUUCUUCCAGCUCUUCUAGUUCUGCAGCGAUUGCUGAGUAUAUAGCAGCUUCAUUUUCAAGUUCAUCUGCAAUUUCCUCCAGCUCUUCUUUGGGUACGGGGCUCUUCUCCACAGUUGUAUCCUCUGUGGGUUCUUCACCAAAGACCGGUUCUGUUGUCUCCUCUUCAGGUGGGCUGACACUUUCCUCCGUAGGCUGCUCUUCAGAUCUUUCAGUGGUGAUUUGAAUGAUGUCUGCCGUAAGAAAAUCCAGCAGUGAUGAAAGUUCAGGGACUUCCGGGGAACUCUUACUCUCCUCCACAGUUUUCUCCUUUAUGGGCUCCUCCUUUUCAGGGGCUGGAUCAGGGUUGGGUUGAGGUGUAGCUUUCUUCUUGAAGAGGUUGUCAAAUACGUUAACUCUUUCUUUUGAACUCUCCUUGGGCUCCUUCUUUUGGUGGUUUGGUUCCGGUAUGGUUUUCGCCUUAGCAGUCUCUGCUUCCGUUUCUGGAACAUUCUCAAUGACAGGCUCCUGUUCCACCCCCACAGGCGCACAACCACUGCCGUUUGCCUCCACUAUACCUGGCUCUUUAGCGGGAGGCAGUGAGGAAGGCUGACUGUUCUGCUCCACAGCUGCUUCACUGGUAUCUGCAAGAGAUAGGUUACUUGGUGUGGUGUGACAGGAAAUAGAAAGUUAUUUGCUAUGAUUCAUCAUUUGUACACAAGGAUCAGGUUGGUAAUAACUGGCUUUGAUCAAUCUAUCGGAUGUCUGGCAAUAUGUAAUUUUGAAGAAAAUGGGAGUAUGUGUUUUUAAAUAGCAUGCAACUUUACCAAAUGUGUUUUCUAUUGAUACUACCCUUAUGACUAAUCAAUGCAGUACUAAGGUCAUUACCCUAAAUGCAAUGCAAGCAAAACCUUCCCUUGCUCUGUAUGUAAAACUAAUGUGCUACUAGAGACAUAUAGUCUAGUCGUGUGAAACAAACACAACCUGUUCUAGAAACAGUGGCUUUAGUGUCUUAUUUGCUGAUAUCAAAUAAUAUUUUUGGGGGUGCUUAUAUUUGUCCUGUCACACACAAGUAUGUAAUGGACAUGUGUUGCUUCAUAUCCCAACUCCCCCUGAGCAAUUAGGUUUAAGUGCCUUGCUCAAGGGCACAGCGACAGAUUUUUCACCUAGUCAGCUCCGAUAUUCGAACUGGCACCUUUGGGUGACUGGCCCAACGCUCAAACCUCGAGGUUACCUGCCGCCCCUUGACGACCAAUAUCAAUAUUAUCGCGUUUGGAGAAAAUACAUAUGGACUUGCCCUGAAAAUCCUUGUACCUGACUGUUGAUCAAGUGAGACAAUAUACACAUAGAGGAUGAACAGAUGUUUGAUCUAUCUAUGUUCAAGGCUACGCCUAGAGUUAACAUUGAACACCACCCAGUAGCACUGACCGACUGCUGUAUUUACAGAGAAUUAAGAGAGACUUGUAAAUUGAUCCAGACUAAUCCAACAAUUCAAGAUUGAUUACAAGUGACAUACUGUCACUGUCAUAUCAUCCCAUUGGAGCUGUAAAUGAAUAACUAGCAUUAUAGACCGAGCGAGGUGUUGCAACCAGUUGGGCCCAAAGUUUAGGGUAUUGACCAUGGGGUAACAAUCAGGUGACAACAGGAUAAAUGGCUACCAAACCACUCAAAGCCAUAUAUUAGUGGAUGUAAUAAUGGCCUUGUGUACUGGGCACUUACCACUUUUCUCCAGGCCAUCGUACGAGAUGCUUACAGCAUGGCUAUUCACUUCUCCUUCCGGGUGCUUGUCCAGAGCCUGCUCGGACUAUAAGAAGAAAGAUUGUUGAUAUCAGUUUCUCUUGCCAUCAUUGUUUUCAUCACAUCACUUUCAUCAUUACUCAAUUUUGUACGGCCCAUCAAUUAUAUAGUAUUAGAUGUAUGUGGACUUGUAAUAUCCCUAUUAAAUUACUGUCUGUAUCUUCAAACUGCUAAUAUUAGACAGUAAACACUUCCAGGGGUGGACUGGGACCAGAAAUCGGCCCUGGCAUUGCUAACACACUGUUCCAUUUUUUUCCCUUGAGGUCCCAACACCAACCCACUUUUUCCUCUAAACCCCCAUACUGGCCCAUUAUUAGCCAGAUCAUCAUCAUUUUGCUAAAAGUAAACUUAAGUUAGACAGGCCCACUAGGCAAAAAAUGGACCAGCUCAUCUGGUAUUUGCCCAAAAUGCCAGAUGCCUAUUCCGCCCCUGAACUAGCCUUCUUGCCCCUGUAUUCCAACAUUCAAAGUAAGAGAAGCAUGCUGUAAAGUUUGGCUUUUCU
rnacentral:lncRNA from 1 species